rnacentral:lncRNA from 1 species
AGGGAGAGUUAUGCAUUUAAGAACCUCUCUUUCAAAGCUACUAUUCUCUUUCAACUUAGUCAAACUGCUUCACUAAUCAGUGAAAUCAAAAUCAAAAAUAAAAAAGGGGAUCUAACAUUCACCGUAUUACAGUGUCUGAGUGGAUUAUAAAACAGCAGUCAGCACCAUUCUGGUGUGAUGAGACCUACCAUGGACACUGGAGAAGUAAUCACACUAUUAACUUUAAAACUACUGCCUUGUUGGUAGCUUUGCCUGUUUGGCUGCAGUCCAGAAGAGAUACAGUGGUACACUAAGCAGGGAGAAGUCAGUGAAUGCCAUGGGCCAAUCUGAAUUCAGGAGCUGACCCAGUGAAAAUUUGAAAGGUUUACAGAGUUGGAGAUUACUGCAAGGUUCCUACGAAUAUUUGAGCAAGCAACCUCACUGUGGUAGUAUGCACAACACAGUGGUUUCUCCUCGGCAUCAGUUCAAAAGAAGCUCAAAAACAAAUGAAAGAAAAUACGAGUUCCAUGUCUGAAGUGAGGAGAUUAAGGGAUACUGGACAACUCAUCUCUGAAGAAACUUCAGAGAGCUUUAUUUUUGGCAGCUGGACGGUUGUUCCAAUAGUGCUGUGCAGCUUGCUGGAUGGAGGAGGAUAUUGACUGAUGUGACACCUGCUUGCUGUACACUGAAUGUCAAAUAUACUGUUACUGAAUUUGAUGAAAUUAAAACUUGUGCAGGAAGUAUUUAAACAGGAUACAAACUACUUAUAUCCACACGAGUCUUACUCUGGUUCCUCUGCAACUUCUCUACAGUGUUACAAAAUAAAGUUGAUGGCACAGGACCUCAGUUUUGAAGUUAAUGUUUGGUGCCUGGGACAUCUCAAAAUUCAAGAGCUGAACUUUUUGGGAUGAAAAUCUUCGGAGAGAAUCAGGCAUUGAUCUAUUAUUUUCUUAGUCAGAGCUUCCACCAUGAGGCUGCCAAAGAAAUAAAUGUCACCUUCUUCACUUUCUUCAGAUGCAGUUUUUGGAAGUGAUAACUGGAACUGCAGUCUGUGAUAUAUAAAAUAUAAGUGUACAUUGGAUUGAGCUCCCGAAAAGGAUUUUGGUAAUGGGAUGUCCUGUUUCUGGAUCCUGUUUAGGCAAUGGGAUUUAGGAUGCUCUACCUAUUAAGAUAGAUACUGUUGCAAUGCAUAUACAGAAAUGAAAUUUUAUGAUUUAGUUCUGAACAACAUUGAGGCACUGAGGUAUAAUCAGCUAGUAAUAGUUGAAAGCAUUGUUUUUCAGAGUAACAGAUUUGUAUUCAAAUAUAUGAAUUCUAACCCACUCCCACUUUGAGUGAUUUGCUAUCUGAGUGAGCAGCAGGAAAUCUUGCAGAUAUUUUUCACUGCAGCAUCCUGAAGAAGCUCAUACUAUUUUCUUUUUUUGUCGUCUUCUUGGUUUUACAGACAUAAUAUAUCCCUAUAUGUUUCUCCAGCAGAACUACAGAUGUCUCCCAUUACUUUUCUACAGCAACAUGGGUUAGAGCUUUCUCUAUAUGAAAAAAAAAAAAAAAAAUGCUAUAAGCCUCAUUUUCACAGUGGUUAUAAUGAUUGUCUUCAAUAGGGCAAUCCUUGCUGCAAGCAUUUCACGACAGUCUCAGUGAGCACAACGCAAAGUCUUUUAAUGCCUCAUCUUCAGGGUGUGGUAAGAUGAUGGGUAUUACAUGAUGCCUAGAAAGAAAUACCUAAUUUUGACCUUUUCAUUGUUUUCAUUAGGAAGGAAGCAAACAAAAAUAUUCUUUUUCUUUUUCCUUUUCCUUUUCCUUUUCCUUUUCCUUUUCCUUUUCCUUUUCCUUUUCCUUUUCCUUUUCCUUUUCCUUUUCCUUUUCCUUUUCCUUUUCCUUUUCCUUUUCCUUCUCCUUCUCCUUCUCCUUCUCCUUCUCCUUCUCCUUCUCCUUCUCCUUCUCCUUCUCCUUCUCCUUCUCCUUCUCUUUCUUUUUCCUUUUCCUUUUUCUCUUUAAAUAAUAACCUGGAAGUAUGGUUGUGCAAAAGCAGAAAUUUUGUUCAAAGAAAGAUUUCCUUUGAGCAAAAAGUACAUUUUAAAGAAAUAAAUUUGACCAUUUUUAGUAACUUACAUGAAAGAAAGAAGAGCUACUGUGAACAGGAAUUCUGAAUUUUUAUGAAUGCCAAUGGUGCUGCUAAAUUAAAAUUUUUCAACUUUUUCCCUUAGUUGGAUCAAAUGUGUUUAAAUUUAUAAAUUAGUAACCAGUUAUUUACAGACAACAAUUUGAAAAUAAAUCAGAGAAAACCAGUAGCAUUUGCCUCAGUACUACUAGAAAGACUGAAUGUAUACCUAGUCACAUUAAGAAAACAGUUACAAGGACCUACAAAACUCAUGCUGACAUUUAGACAGAAAGAACAUAAGCAUCUUUAGGCAAACAAAUUAGUAAGUCUAGCUAUGAAUAGUAAAGCCUCCCACACUAUCUCUGAAUCAGUUACCAACUUGCCUAGUAUAUAUCUGAUGGGCAGCCAAAUGGGAUGUUAUAGAAUGAGCAGCAAACCCUUGAAUAAAAAGUGGACACCCAAGGUGCCAUUUUGAUUAGUAUCUAUCUAUUAAGAUAGUUAGAGGUUUUUUCCUCUUUAAGCUGAUGUAACAUCAGAGAAAGAAGUCUUUGACUUGACCAGAAAUCCUUGACUUGGUUCUUAGAAACCUGAGGAGCACUAGAGUUUAGGCUGGAGAUAUGAAACUUUUUGUGGAAAACUACCACUAUUCUAUCAGAACUUAGCAAAAAAUUCAUUUUGUCAUGUUGAGUGGUGAAUUUUUUGUCCUAACACAUACAGGUUUUGGAAAGCUAUAAAGAAGAAACUUCACUCAACCCAGCUUGCUCCAUCAGUCUAGGAAAAAGCUAUUAGUGUGAAAAGAAAUUCCAAAAGUUUUAGGAGUUGAGAUUCACCUAAAAAUUUAUAUCUGCUAAGUAGAGUGAAAAUUUGAGGAGGAGUACAACUGAAAAGCAGGAACGCAAAUAAAUGUUAUUUCUGUAGAAGUUCAUGGGACUUUUGCUUGCAUGGAAGCCCAAAAGAGUCUGUAGAAUGUUGCCAGUACAUUCAGAAUAAAAUAGGAAUUUUAGAAAAGCAGAAGGAUUUGGCAAUGUCAUGUCCAGGAAUGAAGAAUAAUCAGAAUAAAUUAAGUAGGUCAUGGGAUGGACAGACUCAUAUAAUUACAAUGAAAUCAUAAUAUAAAUCAUUGGAGAACCAGCAGUGGUAAACACUGUUAGGUGGUUUUUUUUAUUGUUGUUUUUUGUGUAUGUGUGUUUGUUUUUGUGGUUUGUUUUUUUUUUCACUGAGGUAGCCAUAUUACAAGCAGGCAGCAUGAAUUACUUUAUUGAAUAUUCAAAGAUGUUUUGAAUACCCUGUAACUUCUUAUGAGAUUAUCAACCACCAUUUUCAGAUGUGCCUUAGGUCACUAAAAUGAUACACAGGACAUCAUUAUGCUUCCUAAAUGAUCUCAAUGCAGCAAUUUCAAUACAGUAGUUUGAUAACCAAUUAAGUGGCAUUCUAAACAUUUUAAGUUUUUCAUAUUUUCAAAAAAUCUCAGUAAGUGAAUAGUGCUAUGUAGUCAAUUUUUAACCCUCACGUGUAAUGACUGGUAAAGGAAGAUGAUUAAAAUCAACCUGGAAUGGUUUGGAUGUGCAAAAAUGUCAAAAUAUCAUGAGAUUAUGUACAGUCUUUAACUAAUGGACCAGUAAUUUGUAGUGAGAGUCAUGAGGCCUUCUGUUAUACAGACCUUUUGUUGAUUUGUCAGGGGAAAACUUUCUUCAGUACUUUUCUUGUAUGAUAUAAAUAAUCAUCACAGGUAGCAGUAAAUAAUUCUUGACUCUAGUUACCUAAAUGAACUUACUGAAACUUAGUGAAACAUCUGUAACAACACUUAGCAGCACUUGCAAAGAAAUCUUGUGCAGUAGUAGCAAAGGGAAACAGCAAUAUUUAGUCUGACAAGCUUUAACUCCAGUCACUGUCAGCCCAUUUUCAAAGGAAAAAAUUGCAGUCUGACUCAGGAUAAAUAUUAUAUGGACUGCUUUGUGGUAAAUCAUUCAUAAAGAAAGGUAGACUGUUCACCAAGAUUAUCUUUCUGAUUCAAAUGUAGCAAAAUGUUAGAUUUUACUUGGGCUCAUUUGUUUUCCUGAAAGACAUUUGAAUAAGCAAAAACCUGUAGAUCUCUCUCUUCUGGUUCCUUUGUUGAGGCAAUAGCUACCACACACAAAGGGACUGUAUAGGCAGGAUAAAGGCAGCUUUAAUACCCUGCACAGUUCCCAACAGCUGGAUGUAGUGUGCAGCUCUGCCAACAAGUCUGUGUAAGCCCAGCAGCACAAAUGAGGUGGUGACACACCAGCAACAACUGCUCUUUGGAAUGUACUCACCAUCAGUUUACUGGAAACAUCUUCCAGCUCCACUGGUCUCCCUUUAGUUUUUGGAUACCUUCCUAGAGCCUUUCUAUUUAACCCCUGAAUCCCUGAACUGCAGACAGUCUUACAUUGACUCACUUACUUUUGCUUGCAGUUUUACUUUUCUUAUCUCACUGGGUUUCCAUCCAUAUAUUUUCUUACAGUUUCCUCAGCAGGAAUGCAGCUUUCCCAGAUGUUUGUGUUGAGUUUACACAGUUAUGCCAGGUCAUUGCUUGGCUGUGGAUCAGGGAGCAUUGAUCAUUCAGAAGGGAGGUUGCCAAUCUGACAGGUGACAGGUAGGCAGUGUGCUCCCAUUGCUCACUCUGUGUAGCUUUCUCACCUCCUGUCUUUCAACAAAAUAUAAAUCCUUGCUGAGUUAAUUAUGUCAUUUUCCCAGAAUAUUCUGAGAUAACAUACUAUCUGACGUACACAUGGUAAUAACUACCUAGAGGUGCUUUUCUUAUCUUGUCACACAUUGGGACUGUAUCUUUAAAGUAAAGAAAAAAAAGUAAUUAAAAAAAUAUCCAUAUCAUUUAUUUCAUUAUAAGAGAAUCAAAACAAGAGCCAGAGUAUACAAGCAUAUGCCAGAGGUCUAUAAUUUUCUGUUAAUUGUCUUCAAGAAUGUAGUAAUUUGUUUUCCUCUGGUUUUGAUUCCAGCGUGGGAGGUAAGGAGAAGGAAGAACAGCCUCUUUUGCGCUUGCUGAUUUCAGUGCCUGAAAUGCUAUCUCAUCUCCACUAAUCCUCUAGCUUUCACAGCUGAACUUUCAGAUCUGCCAGCUCUUCCCAGAAAGAGACUGAGAACCGACAGGAGGAAAUCGAAUGCACUUUAAAUCUGAAAUCUGUCAUCAGAGUAGCAGUCUUCACAAACUCAACUUUUCAAAGAAGGAAAUGUAUAUUUGCACAUUUUUAUAAUACCUAGUAUAAUAGGCCUUUAAUUUUCACUGAGGCCUCUGAAGUGUUGUGUUAUAAAUAUUUCAUAAUCAUGUAGCUGUGUCUCCAUCUCUGUGUACAUCGUCUUCAAACAAGCAGGAAAUAUUGCUGUUUAUCAUGCCCAGCAGCCACUUAAUAUGUGUAACAGGAUGGGCUUUAGUACAGCAGGCUAUCUGAUCACCCCUGUGGAUAAUUUACUGCUGUUUUUCUUCAGUCAGCCAUUCUCUUAACUGAAAAGGGGUGCAGGGGAGACUUAUUCCACUGUAAGGAGUGGAUUUGUAUUAGCUACAUGAAGCCUUGUUUAAACUUGCAGAAGAGUAUUGACACUAUCAAGUCAGAUGCCUGGAUGUCAAGUAUAAGUCCCUUAUAUAAUGACUGAAGCGUCCAGAAUGUAAUUCAGUACAUUUUGAAAAAUGUCAAUGCUUUAGAUUUAAGUUGUACUGAGGAACAACCAUAUGCUACAUUUAAAUAAACUUAAAAUCAGUUUAUAAGCAUUGUAUAAGGGUUCUAUAAGAAUAAGAAUGAAGGCUUAAAUGUGCCUUGCAACAUUACUUCUCUGACAGAUUAUUGAGCUGUACAUAAGAAUGCUUGUUUAGAUACGUGUAUAUAGAGAGACAGAGAGUGCUAUCCUAAACCGUAGAAGGUGUAAUGUCAGUUUUUGAUAGUCCACAGGAAGAUUACACAUUAAAUAUUGUAGAGAGAGAGAGAGACACUGUUAUUUCACGAGCGAUUUGAAAUCAGAUAAUGUCUGUAAAACGCUGAACUAUAUAUGUAUGGAGAUAUUAUACAUAUGUAAUAUGCUUAUUGUAUAUGCAUGCAAACACUUAAAUGUAUCAAUACGUAGAUGCAUUUUAUAUAAAUUAUUUAUAUACUUAUAUAUAUACACUGUGAUAUGAUCACUGCUGCCUCAGGGCAGCUGCCUACAUUCUCUAGGAAAGCAAAUUAUCUCUAGUACAAUACAUCUAUUAGUUAAUUACAGUAUUUGCAUACUUGAUUAUAAAAUAUAUAAAGUAUUUCUAGAUUUGAGAAUUCAUAGACUUUGAGUAGCUUAGUUUAUAAGUGCUCCAUAUUACCUAUGUUAUGUUAGAAUGGCACACUGGAAUGGGAAGAGGACAAAUGAAAUUAAAACAUUAAAUUUAUUACAGUUAUAAAAAUAUGUACACUUUUUAUACAACAAAUAAUUAGACGGUGAAACACCUUGUCGAAAAAUUGUGGAUAAUUGCCUAGUAGGAUGAAAACAGCUGAAUAUAAGUGAGUAAUUAUUAUACCCUGCGGAAUUGCAUUAACUAAACAAACAAUUUAUAAUGGAUAUCAAUAGUCAUUCUAUAUAAUAUAAGCUUACCUGCUUAACAAACUAGAAGAAACAUUCCCUACAGACAAGCAUUUGCAUAAUCCUCAAUUAGGUAUUUGGAGAGGCAUAAAUUUUAAGGCCAAGAGAGAUUGUUAAGAUCAUGUCACCUGACCUUUGAAUAAGCAUGUGCAGCAGAAUGCUGUUAAGUCAUUCCUGACUCAGCCCUUGGU